UGUAAUCAACAACAUCUGGGAAUCCCUGUUAGAGGGAACACUGUUGCCCACCAGUUAUUAAUUUCAGGUUAAUGAAGGUAUUUAUUGUUUUCAUUUUCAAACCAUGCUCACUGUCCUUAGAAGAUCACUGUUCAAAAUAAUAUGAAAUGAGACAUUGCUUGCAUGGUAAAAUUAUCCCUUUCAGAGAGAGAUAGUUCUUCUAAUCAAAGAAGAAACAAGCGUUAUUAUACCCUGUUGCUUUUCAUAACAACAGUAAGCAACUAUUUAGUUCAGUGGCAGGAAGAAGAUUACUCACUACACUGCCUGCUUACUACCACAACUGGUAAAAUCAGGGAUAACAAGCAAUGCCUUAUUGAUAGAGGCGCAUCUGCAUGCACACACAAAUUAAUUUCUGGUCAAUGUUCUGCAAAUGCAAGCCAGAAGUAUUAUUUCUAACAAUACUAGAGAAAAAGCAUCACUGCUCAAAAGAUUUUAGGAUUAAUAAGGAAAUGUAAUCUUCUUCUUCUUCUUCUUGUAGGAGAUAAUGGCGUACCAGGACCAUAAGGUCCCACAAACGCCACCUACUGGAGAUCCAAAAAAUAUACACAAACGUUCAAAAGGAGGAGAUGGAGUCACAAAUAUUCAAAAAGAUGAGACGAUUUAAGGGAUCUCCACAAAAGAGAGGUAGCAAUCUUCCAAUAUUGGCGGUCCAAAAACAGUUCUUGGAGAGAUCUGCCAUAGAGAUUAACAGAGCGAAGAGACAAAAGGAAAAGCUCACGUUCAUCACUAAAACAAGCACAAUCCCACAAAAGGUUAUGGCCAGCAGUAGCUAGCCAUGAAGAGUGCUAUCAGUACUUCAAGUACUGCUGAAUCCACCAUGGUCUGCAGAGACUUGGUGAAAAAUGGAAACAACAAACCAAAAAAAUGUAACGAGCCCCAUCACCGUCUGGAUGUAAAGUCCAGGUUGACCAAGCCAACAUGCAGCCUCCACCUUCCAACCCCCGUCAUGGCAACAUUUUGUUGAGGUCUGGUUAAUCUGUACUUUACUGGCUUCAAAAACUGGUAUAAAUAGUGCACCCAGGUAUUUGAAAGUGACCAGAUAUAGAAAUGAUACUUUUCUAGGAAGCAUGCUACAACUUGUGUAUCAUGCAGAAGGACUGUAGAUACCUGAAAAAGCAUCCGCUUUGCAUGAUUAAGUCCUUGGCAUCUGCAAGUAGGACUGGGAAAUACCCAUAUGAAACCCUGGAGAUCCAUUAUUUUUAAAAAAUAUUGUAUUAUUAUUAUUGUUAUAUUGCCAUAUCAGUUACAAAAAACUGAGUAUUACAACAUUUAUAAUCAAAGAUACGUAAGUUUAGGGUGGUAUAAAAAUAUAUUAAAUAAAUAAAUAAAUAAAAUAAAGAGAAAAAACCACUGAGAAGCAACCAUAAGAACAAAAAUAAAUAAUUGGUGGGGAUUGCUAUUUUUAUGAGUUAUGACAAAUGGAAAUUAAGAUUCUUAUAGAUAAGGAGUGAGAAAUCAGUUCAAAAGAUCCGAGUCAGUCAGAGUAAGUCUCUUUCCAGGCUCUGGCGUACUGAGAAGGUGGUGACAUUCUAAAGACUUUUUUGGUUGAUGAAAGCAAAGACCUGCCAAGUCUCAUAGAAGGAGUUAGACUACGACUGACCCAGGCAAAAAUGAAGAGAAUUUUUCUAUUUUUCAACAGUAGCAAUAAACCAAAGUUUAAUAUACCA